GACGAACGCUGGCGGCGUGCUUAACACAUGCAAGUCGAACGGAAAGGCCCCUUUGGGGGUAUUCGAGUGGCGAACGGGUGAGUAACACGUGAGUAACCUGCCCUUGACUUCGGGAUAACUUCAGGAAACUGGGGCUAAUACCGGAUAGGAAUCCUUGCUGCAUGGUGGGGGUUGGAAAGCUUCGGCGGUUUUGGAUGGACUCGCGGCUUAUCAGCUUGUUGGUGGGGUAGUGGCUUACCAAGGCUUUGACGGGUAGCCGGCCUGAGGGGGCGACCGGCCACAUUGGGACUGAGAUACGGCCCAGACUCCUACGGGAGGCAGCAGUGGGGAAUAUUGCACAAUGGGCGGAAGCCUGAUGCAGCAACGCCGCGUGCGGGAUGACGGCCUUCGGGUUGUAAACCGCUUUCAGCAGGGGCGAAGCUUGUGGUGACGGUACCUGCAGAAGAAGCACCGGCUAACUACGUG
rnacentral:rRNA from 1 species